GUAAUAUUUUGGCUGUUUUUGGUCAGUGCCUUUACCACUUUGAGCAUGAGAAGACCAAAGUGGAUGUGCUUUGCAGAUCGAAGUCUCUGUGCUUGUGCGGCCAUUGCAUUCCAUCAUCCAGUAUCUUUUCUCAGCGUCCCUUUUCCUUUCUGCUGUUCACAGAUGAGCCUGCAGGCUUCACUGGUUCCUGCCAGCCAUGGCAGGCACUCCUGCUCAUGAGCCCUUAAUGAUGCUAUCGGUCAGCCUCACAUUAUCUCCAGAACAUGAGCUUCAUUAUCCUUGUCCAAGCAGGAAAGUGCCACUCACACGAAAUGCUGAAUCCAAAAGGGCUGAAAGUAUUUCUUGCUAAGUAAGGGAGAGCUGUGCCUGGAGGACGCUGUCACCUGAACAAGGUUCACUCAUCUAUGAAGGCAGCAGUUUACAUGAGGAUCAGGCUGCAGUUCCAGGUCCACCAGCAUCUCUGAAGUGUGCUCUCUUCAGGAGAGGUACACUGCUGGACAGGAAUGACACAGGGUGAAGAAUGCCCUGAACUCAGAGAAGAAUGGUCUUGGACAGAGACCCUGAGGGCUCUCAGCAUCAGCAUCUUCAGCAGGAAUCUUUGAUGUCUUUAUCCAGCCCGUAAUACAUUCUAGGUGCCCUUGGAGACCCCCAGAAGACAGAAUGAUGGAAACAAAAAGGGAAAGUUGUCCACAGGGACCUUCUGCUUCAGUGGAGAAACUAGACAACUGAGUGGAGGAGAAUGCUGUGUGAUUGGUCAGUACAGGUUCCCUGUGCAUAUCCUGGGGCUCUGUGUGAAGAGAUAACACAAUGAAGUCAUCAUUCCUGGCAUGGCCCCCCAGAGAGGAGCUCCUUGGUGGAGAAGAAGUCAGGACCACAAAGAGGAUGAACUUCCACUUGCUUCAUAUAGGGCCGCACCCUGGCAGGCUGAAACUUAAAAACUGAAAGAUGUUCCAGCACAUGAUUUGUAAGGACAACACAUCUUUACCCUUUGGGAUUUUGAAUCCUGGGAGAAGAGACAGACGUGAAAAAAAUCACUGAACUAUGUGCACAGUCUUGUUUUAAAAUCCUCUGUGAGCAAAACUGAGCAAGGAAGAGAGGUAUGAGAAGUUUGUGUGUCCCCAGAGUCUCCUGGGUGGGUGAGUAUCACAGUUCCUCCAGGUUUGAAAGAAGAGUGGGGCUAGGGAGAUGGAUGGUAUAGGCACACAUCCCAGAUAGGUGGUAGGUAGGUAGAUAGAUAGACAGACAAACAAACAAAUAAAUAUAUCCUAUAGAUGGGCACAAAAUCCCAAUGUACUUUCAUCAUGAGUCCACCACAGAUGGUGGGUGGGUAGAGAUAAAGAAUGCCUUCUCUAUGCACCCAGUCCAGAUAUAGCUCCUUUAUCCUUCUAGGAUGGAACCAUUUUGAAGAUAUGAUCUCCAAGGUAGGCAUAGAAGGGGCUUAGAGAGGAUAGACAUGGGGCUCAGUUACAGGGCCUCAAGGAAUUGGUGUAUCACUACUGUCCUACUUGGUAAGGUGGUGUCAUAAGGCUCUAGGCUCUAGUACUAUGACAUGAGAUAUGUGUUCUUUCUGCAUUCCCAGUGGUGAUGCUGAUGAUUUUUAAACAUGUGGCAAACGUGCUGCACCGUCUCCGAAGGGGAAGGUAGGGGACUUCAGUCUAGGCAAAGCCUCAAAAGAAAAAGAACUGGAUGUGCGGGCAACAUGGUGACAUUCUGGUUAUGGUCAUGGUUGAGGUUGCACAAUAGAAGGCUAAGAAUAGAUGAAGGUGGGCACAGAGCUAUGUGGAACACAAGUAAUGGGCACUUUGGAUACUCCCUUGGACAAUGAUUGGCAAUAGAGGUGUGAAAAUCAAAAUAGGCAUGGCCAUUUUAGUGCACAGAUGGCAACCCACCAGCACCAUCUGAAGACACAGGCUGGCAAUGGGGUUGCCUUUAGAAGCCUAUCACAAAAGAUCUUGUAGACAAGGGCAUUUGGGGUUUAUAUAGUCAGGCAUCAUGGAGGGAGAUAAGUGGACAGCUUCAAAUAUUUCCAUUUAGAGAGACAGACCAGAUGUUAGAACAUGACAGGAAAAGAUCACUGAGAAACAGAGAGGUAACUACUAAAAGUAAAUCCUGGUCUCAUAUCCCCCAAAGAACCCAUAAUUUCCAUCAUCACCUUCAUUGCAAUCAUUACUAUCACCAUGAUCAUUGCUUUUGGUACCAUCAUCAUCUCUAUCACCAUUACCAUCAACAUCAUAAUCACCAUCAUCAUCCCUACCACAACCAUCACUACCAAUAUCAUUAUCAUUGUCACCACUACCACCAUCAUCCCCAAGAGUAUCAUCCAUCAUUCCCAUCAUCAUCAUCAUCAUCAUCAUCAUCAUCAUCAUCACUAUUAUCACUGCUACCAACAUCAUCACCAUCAUCAUCUCCAUCACCACCACUAUCAACAUCAUCAUCACCAUAAUCAUCCCCAUCACCACCAUUACCACCAAUAUCAUUAUCAUUGUCAUCAUCACCAUUUUUCCCACCAAUAUCAUUAUUCCCAUCACCAUCCUCAGUUAUCAACAUCAUCACCCUCAUUGUCAUCACCACAUUAUCAUCAUCAUCACCACCAGCACCACUACCACCAUCAUCAUCAUCAUCACCACUACCACAACAACAUCAUCGAUGUCAUUGUCACCACCAUUAUUUUCAGGAGAAAGAUGUUCAGAGGAAAGGCUGGUGAUAAGCAGAUGCAGCUGGUCUAAAACUGAAGAGCACAAGUCCUCUUCAUAUUGCCAGGCAUGAUCCUCCCUGGAUCCACUUCUACAUUCUCUCUCUGUGACAUUUCAUCCUAUCCCUUUGCCAAAUUAAAUCCAUGUAGGCCAGCAUCUAGAGGUCUGUAUAGCUUGGAUCUUGCCUUUAAAUUCAAAACUAGCAUUUUUGGUGACCAACUAGAAAACACAACUUGGGGAUAUCCUGGUAGCACCUCUGGUAUCUGUACAGCACUGUCUGGAAGCUUCCUUCAAACCUGUGCUCUUCUUCCCCCAAAAUAGAGACCCCUCCUUAAGCCACAUCAUUGAUGACCACAUCCUGGAGUCCUGGGCCUGUUUUCUUACUGGCCUCUCUUCUGUCACUAUUCCUCCCCAUAAUCAUGCUGAUGCCUUUUUCUAGCUAUUAUGACUUUAUAGCUGGGAUGACAAAUUCCCUGGGUUACUGACACAAUACUUGGUCUCUCCAACAUAAUUUCUGCAAAACAGCCAGAUGACCUUUUAAAAAUGCAGUUGGACAGUCUUGAUCAUGCUAUUCUGGUCUCAGCAUCCCUAAAGAGUUCCCAUCACUCCUCAGUGAAAUCCCAUUGGGACUCUGACUUAGCUAGAACUCUUCUAUAUUGUGCUCCGGGUGAGGGUGACCCAGGGCUAACCAUGCAUCUCCCCAAUGAGCUGGGGUCCUUCCUGCCUGAGAUUUGUGCUUGCUGUUUGAAAUGUUCCUCAGUGUGCCUCUCUUCACUUUUCCACAGAACUCUGUUGCCUUCUGGAAGCUAUUUCUGACCUUCCAGAUGAAUGUGGACCCCUGGAAUGCUCUUGCCCAGAACUCUUUACUAAAAGUGACUACAAUGAGCAGCAAACAGGCACCUGUGUGGUUGACAUUUUCCUGUGACUAGAAACUCAGGAAGGACCUGGAUGCCCUGUGACCUUCCUUACUACUAAAUUCGCCAUUUUAAAAAUCAUGGCUGUGGGGCUGGGAGGGUUAAUUAGUGGGUAAGAACAGUUGCUGUGCUAGCCAAAACCUGAGUUAAAAUCCUUAUUACCCUUGACUGCAUGUACCUGUCACUUCAGCAUUGGCAGCAGGGAGAGAUGGGUCUGGGAAGCUCUCUGGACAUCCUGCCUAACUGAAAUCAUGGGUUUCAGUUAAAUGAGAGACCCUGUCUGAAGGGAAUAAGGCAAGGAGUGAAAGAAGAAGAUAUCUGAUGUCUUCUUGUAUACCCAUGUGCAAACAUUUUGUGUGUGUGUGUAUGUGUAUGUGAUGACAAGACACACAGUGGAAAGAGGUCACAUGCAAUUAAGAUCAACAAGGUCCUAGAAUUUUCUCUGAGGUGUUAAAAACAAAAUUUAAGGAAUGGUUAAAAGAAUAGGAAGAUUAAAGGAAAUGUAGAUUGAUAAAAUACAUGUAAUGGAUAUAAAAAGAAUCCAGAGAAUAAUUUAAUCAUUAACAAAUGUUAAGAAUAAAUACAAAACAGAAAAUCCAAUAUAUCAGGAAGUAAUAUACCACAGGAAUAUAUGCACUUGUUCAGGUGUGAUUUCUUCAAAUGUGAAAGUGUAGGAGAAAGGCAAAAAGCUAGAAAAACACACAAGUGUGUCAACAAUAGUAGAAAGCUGCUAUAGGCAAACCAGUGUUAAAUGAGGAAAGUGGGGUUUAGGUCAAGAAAAUGCAUUGGAAAUGCAAGGAUACAGGUUUAAUAAUGGCAAAAGUGUCACACAGGAGGAGGACACCCCAGCAUCAUAGUGACCAGGCAGGGAUGCUACUUCAAAAUGAGCAGAGCAGUACUUAGAGAUGGACCAUGGUGAUGGACCAUGGUGGGAAAUACAGCAGAAUCUUUUCAGCAACAGCCAUGACCAGCAGCAGUAACUCGGGCCAGACUGUAGGGGACUCAAACUGGAGGAAGCAGUAUGGGCCAAGAGUAUCUAUAAAUACUGUCUCUGAGGGUAGCACACCCAGAGGUUGUUCCUGAGGACACUGGGGCCAUUUGCCAAACCUCCUUUCAUCUGGAAUGAAAACCAAUUAUGAACUCUCUAAUUCAUAAUGGGGGUUUUGAGUAGACUUUGUAUCAGUCAAAUCAAAGGAGCACUCAGAAAUAACAACAUCACUAUAGGAUUCCCAACAUCUGGAAUUUAAAAUAACAAACUCUGAGAAAUGAAAUGUAUGUACUGAUCUGAAUAAAAAUAAAAUGC